rnacentral:rRNA from 1 species
ACGGAGGGUGCGAGCGUUAAUCGGAAUUACUGGGCGUAAAGCGCGCGUAGGUGGCUAUCUAAGCUAGAUGUGAAAGCCCAGGGCUCAACCUUGGAACUGCAUUUAGAACUGGAUGGCUAGAGUACAGCAGAGGAUAGUGGAAUUUCAGGUGUAGCGGUGAAAUGCGUAGAGAUCUGAAGGAACAUCAGUGGCGAAGGCGACUGUCUGGGCUGAUACUGACACUGAGGUGCGAAAGCGUGGGUAGCAAACAGG